CUACGGGCUGCUGCAGUGAGGAAUAUUGCACAAUGGGGGGAACCCUGAUGCAGCAACGCCGCGUGGAGGAUGACGCAUUUCGGUGUGCAAACUCCUUUUAUAUGUCAAGAAAAUGACGGUAGCAUAUGAAUAAGCACCGGCUAACUCCGUGCCAGCAGCCGCGGUAAUACGGAGGGUGCAAGCGUUACUCGGAAUCACUGGGCGUAAAGGACGCGUAGGCGGGUUGGAAAGUCAGGUGUGAAAUCCUACAGCUUAACUGUAGAACUGCACUUGAAACUUCUAAUCUAGAGUAUGGGAGGGGGAGAUGGAAUUAGUGGUGUAGGGGUAAAAUCCGUAGAUAUCACUAGGAAUACCUAAAGCGAAGGCGAUCUCCUGGAACAUUACUGACGCUAAGGCGUGAAAGCGUGGGGAGCAAACAGGAUUAAUACCCUUGUAGUC
rnacentral:rRNA from 1 species